rnacentral:hammerhead_ribozyme from 1 species
AUGCUGCUGAAGAGUCCAACAAUUGGACGAAACGGCCGUCUAAU